rnacentral:rRNA from 1 species
GAUGAACGCUGGCGGCGUGCCUAAUACAUGCAAGUCGAGCGAACGGACGAGAAGCUUGCUUCUCUGAUGUUAGCGGCGGACGGGUGAGUAACACGUGGAUAACCUACCUAUAAGACUGGGAUAACUUCGGGAAACCGGAGCUAAUACCGGAUAAUAUUUUGUACCGCAUGGUUCAAAAGUGAAAGACGGUCUUGCUGUCACUUAUAGAUGGAUCCGCGCUGCAUUAGCUAGUUGGUAAGGUAACGGCUUACCAAGGCAACGAUGCAUAGCCGACCUGAGAGGGUGAUCGGCCACACUGGAACUGAGACACGGUCCAGACUCCUACGGGAGGCAGCAGUAGGGAAUCUUCCGCAAAGGGCGAAAGCCUGACGGAGCAACGCCGCGUGAGUGAUGAAGGUCUUCGGAUCGUAAAACUCUGUUAUUAGGGAAGAACAUAUGUGUAAGUAACUGUGCACAUCUUGACGGUACCUAAUCAGAAAGCCACGGCUAACUACGUG